rnacentral:rRNA from 1 species
GACGAACGCUGGCGGCGUGCUUAACACAUGCAAGUCGAACGGAAAGGCCCUGCUUUUGUGGGGUGCUCGAGUGGCGAACGGGUGAGUAACACGUGAGUAACCUGCCCUUGACUUUGGGAUAACUUCAGGAAACUGGGGCUAAUACCGGAUAGGAGCCCCUGCUGCAUGGUGGGGGUUGGAAAGUUUCGGCGGUUGGGGAUGGACUCGCGGCUUAUCAGCUUGUUGGUGGGGUAGUGGCUUACCAAGGCUUUGACGGGUAGCCGGCCUGAGAGGGUGACCGGCCACCUUGGGACUGAGAUACGGCCCAGACUCCUACGGGAGGCAGCAGUGGGGAAUAUUGCACAAUGGGCGGAAGCCUGAUGCAGCAACGCCGCGUGCGGGAUGACGGCCUUCGGGUUGUAAACCGCUUUCGCCUGUGACGAAGCGUGAGUGACGGUAAUGGGUAAAGAAGCACCGGCUAACUACGUG